GGAGACAGCCACCUGACCAGGAUUCUGUAAGGUCCUUUUCCUGACAGGAAGGACUUCGUGUGUGCUUAAUGGCACCUGCUUUGAGGGCACCUCGGUCCCAAGGGUUGAAACCGGGAUGGUAAUAUCACCAGAGAUGGACCAUGGACACGUGCAAAGGACCUGCCAAAUGGCUACUGUUAAGUGUCAUUGAGAGGAGGGCCUUGAAACUGCAUGUGUUUUCAAGAGAAAGCGCCACAGGCCCAGAGAUUGUUUCGGAAUAGGACAAGGAUGCCAGCUGCCCAGUACAGCCAGCGCUUGGACACCAAGCCCUAGACUUCCUGGAGACAGCCACGUGACCAGGAUUCUGAAAGGUCCUUUUCCUGACAGGAAGGACUUCGUGUGUGCUUAAUGGCACCUGCUUUGAGGGCACCUCGGUCCCAAGGGUUGAAAGCGGGAUGGUAAUAUCACCAGAGAUGGACCAUGGACAGGUGCAGAGGACCUGCCAAGUGGCUACUGUUAAGUGUCAUUGAGAGGAGGGCCUUGAAACUGCACGUGUUUUCAAGAGAAAGCGCCACAGGCCCAGAGAUUGUUUCGGAAUAGGACAAGGAUGCCAGCUGCCCAGUACAGCCAGCGCUUGGACACCAAGCCCUAGACUUCCUGGAGACAGCCACGUGACCAGGAUUCUGAAAGGUCCUUUUCCUGACAGGAAGGACUUCGUGUGUGCUUAAUGGCACCUGCUUUGAGGGCACCUCGGUCCCAAGGGUAGGUAGGACGAUGUCCAUGUCCGGCCUGAGGCAGUUAGAAGAAGAGUUGAAAGCGGGAUGGUAAUAUCACCAGAGAUGGACCAUGGACAGGUGCAGAGGACCUGCCAAGUGGCUACUGUUAAGUGUCAUUGAGAGGAGGGCCUUGAAACUGCAUGUGUUUUCAAGAGAAAGCGCCACAGGCCCAGAGAUUGUUUCGGAAUAGGACAAGGAUGCCAGCUGCCCAGUACAGCCAGCGCUUGGACACCAAGCCCUAGACUUCCUGGAGACAGCCACGUGACCAGGAUUCUGAAAGGUCCUUUUCCUGACAGGAAGGACUUCGUGUGUGCUUAAUGGCACCUGCUUUGAGGGCACCUCGGUCCCAAGGGUGCUGGCUCCACUGUGGUGUCCAUCACCAGUAUCUUCACCAUCAGUGGUUUGUGCCAUAAAAGGACAUGUGACUAGACCCCGCACAGUCAAGUUCCACAUAGUCACUUGCAUAAAACCUGAUUAGAAACACUGGUCA